AACGACAUAAUUUCAUAACGACAUGGUAGUGAAGUAAUGCUUUCGGUUCACUCGGUGUUUUGUAAAGCUCAUAGUUGUGGUUUCCGGUUCCUUUGACUUUGAGAAGAUCAAGAGCGAAUUAACACCUUUCAAAAUGGCUGGAGACUUUGUUGAUGAGAGCACUAUGAAAUUUGAUAAACCAAUUCAGAAACAUUUCAACUCAUAUACUCUAAGAGGACGAAGAAAUUGGGUACUGGCAACUUACGGAACCAUUUUUGCAUUUGUAAUGUUUCGUAAAAUGACCAAAAAGACCACCAAAGUUGAAAAAUGCUGAACAUUAUACUAUUUAGAGUAAUCAUGUUUGUAGAUUGAACAGCACAUAAAAUGUUUGUGGAGAUCAAGUAUACUUUUUGAGUGGGAGUGUAUAAAUAUGUGUUUUCAACAAUUUUGAUAGCAAUUAAAUAUUUAUAUCCAA